GCACCAGGAGAGAUUUGAACUCACACCUCCCUCCACCCCAAGCACGCACUCUAACCAUCAACCUACAGAGGGAAGCCUGGCAGCUUUGGCUCGAGCAACCCUUUAAUUAAAGUGGAACAGCUUCCACAAGCAAGAGGGUAGCCGCCCCCCUCCACUCCCGGGCAGUAUCCGCAAAAGCAGGGAACACUCACCAGGCCUGCAUUUCCCCCCUGUCCACAUCUCUUCUUAGCACAGGCACAGGGGGGAUUUGCAGCAGGGUCCCCCACGGCACAGAUAAGGACCCUCAGCAUUGCACUAAAAGCUACACAGAAGUCCCGUGCCGCCUCCUCCUGCUCACAUCUGUUUUUGGGGUCUUAGGCAGGUAUAUAGCAAUCUCACACAAAAUGGUUCAUGCACCUAAGUCAGCUUACUCCAGGAGGGAUUCCUGGCUGCAGAUUGCAAGUAGAUCUAGGUCCCAAACUUCCUAAAAGGGUCAGGGCUUAGCACCACCCCUUUUCUCAGCAUCUCCCAGUGGCUAACUUAGGCAGUUUUGUGCCUGUCCUUAUUGUUUUUGUUUAUCCCAUUCUUUGGUACCUGUCUCUGGCCCUUCUUCCAAGACAGAGCCCAAGCACCUAACUGAGGCACUGGGAAUCCCAUUGUUGUUUCAAUAAUUUUCUAGGCAUCUAGAAGCCAUGGCAAUUGUGAGGUUGCUACAUCUAUACCCUUUUGUGGGUCUGGUCCACAAUGCUGAGACAGAGAGGAGCUGAGAAAGGGUGUAUUUGGUCCAUAUUACAGGCAAAGAGCACUUUGAUUGUAAGGGAGCUGAGUACAGGCAUGCCACCAUCCUAUAGCCCUGAGACCAGAGGAGACGGGUUGCUGAGAGUGGGCAUGCUCAGUUCGUACCACAGAGACAUCACUAAGACCCAGAGAGCGGGGUAGCUCAAAAGCGUCUCUCUUUCACCAAGAGACGUUGAUUCAAUAAAAGAUAUUACCUCAUCCACCUGUUAUAUCCUGGGACCAACAUGGCGUCAACCACACUGUGCAAAGAUGCUGAUGCUUCCCAUAGUUCUUGUUGAGAGAUUGCUCCAUGGCCAUGUCAUGCCAUACAGCACUAAAGGGUCUGGCAGUCUGGCAUACUGCACCCUAUCAAGUAGGUCAUUAUAUAUAUCUGGCUUCUCCUUCUCCAGAAGUCUGGCUUCUGCUACAUUUUACAUAGCCCCAUCUAGCAUAAUUCACAUGACCACACAGCAAAUCAAGUGCAAUCCUCUCUUCCAGUGUCUCAGACUACAUGAACUUGUUAUCAUCUCUGUGUGCUGCAGUGUUAUCCCGCAGUAGUUGGGCAACAUCCAUUACCUAGUUUUCCCAGAGCAGAAAUUUAUCUCAGCAGUGUUUCCCUUCGGUAACCUAAGUGUCCAUGCACUGGGGGAGUGAUUGGGUUCUGUUCAUGAAGUCUGCCAGAGCAUUCUGUGCUUCCACACUCUUUUCUCUGUGUGCCUUGCCCACCUCUUCAAAUGCUUCAGUGCAAGGUCAAGGUUUCUCCAAGAUGCGUCUCUUCUCAUUUUCUGGGAGAACGACUGUUCAUGGAACUGCCAAGUGCCACCUAUUUCAAGCAAUUCAUUGCUUCAUUCAUAGGGUUGUGGAUUCUAAUGCCAGGGUUAUGUGCUUUUCCUCUUACAGCAUGGCAGAUGAUGAAGCACCGUAGAUGUUGGCUUCCACAAGGAGGUCUUCAAAUCCACUUUCCUGUAUCACACUGCCAAUGUCACCCAGGAAAUUCACUGUAUGAUGCACGCCUCCCAUCUCAAAGGGGUCACUGUCAAAUUCGGUUUGAUUCCUCCAUUUAAUCAACUGUGCUUUGCAGUAGAUUGCUUCGUCAUGCACGACAUAAGUCCAGUCUUGGCUCAGAGAGUGGAACAUAUCCUGAAAAUAUUUCAUCCUGGUGUACGUUGUAUUAACAUCAGUUGCCGGUGCAGGAAUCAUUGCACAGUAGCCAAUAUUCAUAAAAUAUAAAAUAGCAGACAGAAAAACUCCUCCAUUCAGUCCAUUCUGCAAAUAAUGACAGAUAUGUUGAUGUAUUACAUGGUACAAACAAACUCAUACUGUCGUGCGACUACAGACUUCUGCUUUAACCGAAGACAAACAAGGACAGGAAAAUGCACAAAACAUAUCCCCUGGGGCUAAAUAGUUCCCACACUUUCCAAAACAGGACUAUUUUGAUUACAUAGUUGCAUCGUCAAUUGUAUUUCAAAAAUUUCGGCUGAUUUGGGUGAAAAUUAGACUGUUUCUUCGAGUUAUGGCCCUUUUAGUGAUUUUAUGAUUUUUCCAGAUUGGAUGCCUGCUAACAUUUGAACAUUACAUGAUACAGAAUAACUGCCCCACUUCCUGCAUCUGCAAACACCCUAGUGAUGACCACCAGAUAGGUGCUUAACAUGUGCUUAGCAAUUAAUUUUUUCUAGCUGAUGUGUUACCUUAGACUAAUGGGCAGGGGUUUUUAGAACCUAUCUUCAGUGCCCAGCCAAAAUGGGGGCAGCAGUUGGACACGGUUGGAGCUGGCAUAUCUUUACAGGUUACUAGUAACGCAGUGUAACUCAGAUGCCGAGCUGGGCUUUCUGAGACCCGUCAGCAAGGACAGUGGCAAAAUGUUAGGUAAAUCAUGCCUGAAAGUUCCCCUCGUGCCCUCAGAAAACCCCUUUUUACAGAGUUUUAACUUAAAAAUAAAGUCUGGUUUUGAUGGCAGUCUCCUGGGAGGAGCAGCAAACUGCAGCCUGGGGGACUAUUUAGAGACCUUUUCUCCCAACUGUUCAAGCAGCAUUUCUGUUCACUACCUAUUACAAAAAUCCCUUCAUUUCUCUGUUCCUUGGAUUUCACUUCUUUGGUGCUUAUGAUGCCAUUAUCAUAUAGUGCCUGUCUGUUUCCAGUCAAUUUCACUUGGGCUGGGUUAGUUGAGCCCUCUGCUCAAUGUAGAGAUUCUUACAGGACAGGAGAGCUGUAUAGCAGAUUAGAAAACACCAUACAAACAGAAAUUUCGAAAAACCUAUCAGACUGCCUUUACACAUCAGUCAAAAAGAGGGUAUCACCCCACCAGUCUCCCUUUAUGGACCACCAUCCAAACCCUCCAGUUAGCUCAUAUCUGUUCAAUUCUCAUAAAAUACACCAUCCACCCAUUUUCCUCAAUACUCAGUUAUCCAUUAGUACCAAGCACUUCAGCCCUCCUCAGAGCUUUUGUUUAGAGAAUUGCACCAUAGGCCCCUGAAAGUCUUCCCAUCUGUAUCCAUACUAAUAGUUACCUAAAGCUAGGUGCAUUUAAAGCACCAGCUGCUGUAAUGGAGGGAUCAUAUCUUUAAUAAUCGCUCUGAUUUCAACAGCUAUUUGUACUGUCUGGAUUAGGAAAUUGAAGUAUUGCUGUCCCAUCUCACUGAAUCCAGGCCUCUGAUUGUUGGCUGAAUUUUGAUCUUUGCAGGUUACCGGCUGUGACGGGGUGUGCAUACCCUGCACUAGGCAGGAAAGGGUUAAUCCCCCACUAUAGGCAGAGGAAGCCCCGCCCCUCAGACCGUGCUGGGCAUGCUCCAAAUGCUGUGCUAGUAUAAAAGGAGAGCAGCUCAGCUCACUCUGGUCUGACUGCAAAGGAGGAAGGAUAUCUGGUUGAGGUUAUAGUGUAGCACCUGGAGUGCCUGAGAUCUAGACCAGAGACCUAUUGCUAUUCAAGUUCUAGGGUUGUGCUGAGGAGCCUAGAGACCCCUGUGGACUGCAGCUUCAGGAGCCUGGUUAGAAGAAAUUUGGGGAAGCAGUACCAUGCAGUGUGAAGACACCCAUGGCCCAAGCUGCCCCUAUGAGGAACAUGUAGCCCAGUGCCACUAUUCCUCGGACCUCACACAGCUUGCCUGGAACUGGGUUGACUCCUUUGUCUCCCAGCUUCUGUUGGAGGAGCUCGUGCCGGAUGUGAUCCUGGAGACCUUCACAGAGUUUAUCAAGGAUCAGAGGCAGCAGCCACUGAAGUCCAGCAAUGGGAAAUCAUCACAGGGAGAAAAAUCCCAGCGUCAUUUAAGGGAGUCCUCAUCUGCUCUGAAGCAUCUUCCCAACUCGUUACUGGAUGAGCUCUUUGCAGAAGUUCUCAGAGAUCUGUUGGCUGAGGUCUUCAGAAGUGCCAUGAAGGAUUUUGUUGAUGACUACCUAACCAGGGCUGCCAUUUCUGACAGCAUAGAUGGAAUAGUAACCGAGGUGGUUCAGAUGGUCUUGUCUGCAUUUCUCAGGGAGGCUCUCCAAGAGAUGGAAUAUGAGGCUAUUCUCCAAGAGGUCAUUUCACAUGUCGUCGAGGAGGAUGCUAAAGCCUUGGCUCAAUCAGUCCUCCGUGACUACGAUGCCGAGAUGAUAAAGCUGCAGCAAAGCCAGAUCACAGCAUUUGCUAGCAAACAACUUAUUGACCUCUUUCUUCUGGAGCACUUGAUCGGAAUGACUAGUAUGUAUCCCCCUGGAUUUUGGGGGAAGGAGCACUCCAGUGUGGUUUUACUCAGUUGGAUGUUUGAUAUUCUCAUCAGGCAGUUCUUUAGCAUUCAGGAGCAGCAGCGAACUACCUCUGAAAAUGUUCCACUGGGAGAUUUCCAUCAAAAAGCUUUUACCGAGGUGGCUUUAGAUGUUAUCUUGACAGAACUAAGUAAACUGGCAGAGGAAGACAUGGAAGAUCUGCUGGAAUAUGAAAGAGGCGUUCAGACAGGACUGAAGAGAAUAAACAGGCAGCACUGGAGUUAUGCGGGAUCAUUAACACACUUAGAACCAGAGGAGCAACGUGGGUCUCAAAUGGAGUUGCAAGAGGGGCCGAGAAGGAGUUUGAAGGAGUAUUGUUCCGAGUCACAGAGGGAGACGGCGCAGUGGAGAUGAACCUCGUCGUAAUCCCCGAUGAACUUGAAGACGGUGACGUGGAAGCGACAGCUCCUGCCAUCCUAGGAUCCCAGAGCCUUUCCACCAGUAAUUAAUUACGCCCCGCGACAUUCCGGAAGCGCUGCGGGGUUACCCGACUCGCCCUCGUCAUACAAGGAUUCAGGGGUGGAAGCAGAUGUACAAUGUGUUCUGUUCCCAACCUUGCCACUAUCCUGAUGGCAUAGAAGUGUCCAUUGGCUCUGCAUGCCCAAUCUGCAACACUUGGGGCUCGAUUUUCAGAGGGGUAGAACUCACAGGCUCCCAUAAGUUCAAUAGCAGCUGGGUGAGCUCAAAACUAUCUGAAAAUCAGGCCCUCCUGGAUGUCUUGUGUUGGGCAUCCAAAUUAGUGGACACUCAAACAUUUAAUCCCUUCUCUUUUGUGCACCAAUUUCUGCAUCUGCCAUAUGAGGGUAAUGCCGCCUUGCCAAACACCUAAUCACUCCUGGAUGAAAAGUGCUAUCUAAGUGCAAAGCUUUAGUUAUCAACUCCAAAUGCGGGUGGUAACAUAUUAAAACUGUUAGAAUUUCUCCCAAUAAUAAUCCACAAAUGGGCCAACAUUUAACCGGGUAUACUGAUGUCUGCAAACAUCUGCCUGCCUAGGGGAUAGCAUGGAGCCCAAGUUCUCCAUCACUAGUGCUAGACGUCCAACUGAAGCCUUCUUCUAGGUUCUUAAACUGUGCUCUUCAGCAUGACACUUGAGCACCUCUGGCCUUUCCCUUAGGAUGCUAGGAAUAGCCACAGAGGUACAAAUCAAUGGCCUUUCUCUUUUGGUAUUGAACAGCAGACUUUAGUGUAUGCAUCAGAGGAAGAAAAAACCCUCCUGUAAUGUUCAUAGGUUCAGAUCAUCUGGUGCUUUACACCAACCAAUGAUUUUUAGAUCCCCAAAGAAAAGCAAAACAGAGAGAAAAAUCUUGCCAGAUGUCACUGACCCUCCUUCAAUGAUGAAGUAUCUGAGUUUGUCAUUGCUGUCCCGAGAAGGGGUUGCAUAACAUUUGUUUAGCGUUAGAAUCAGGUGGGUGGAAUCUGCCCCGACAACGAAGACCCCGACAUAAAGCACGUCCCGGGUGGUUAGAACCACUUCACCCUGCCGGUAGGGGUGCUUGUAGGAGGAGUUUUUGUACAAUGCCAUCUUGGUUGUGAAACUGCCUUCUUGUGUUGGGACUGUCAGGUUAAUCACACUAAAGGAGAGAAAUAAAGCUCAUGAGAAAGCAACAGAAAGCUCGUCCUGUACAAUGGGGGAGGGGAAUGGAUAGGGUCUGAGGGACAGGGACCAGGAGAUGGAGCUUUUCAUAUCUAGGUUGAUAGUUUGAAUACUGCAAAACUGAAAGUUACCAUCCAAUGAACGUUUGGUGGCUGAUGUGACCCCAGUUUGAUUUUUCUCAAUCCCACAACUGCCACCAUAAUUAUCAUCGACUGGCAGCUUAUAACAGAGGCCAAAGGCUGAAUGGGCCAUGCAAAUUCCCUGAAAGUGUCCCCUACAGAUCAAGGCUGAGACACGUUGGUGGGGCAGCAUGAGCGAAGCUAGCCCUCCACGGCCCAUACUGUCCUUGUACGGUGGAUUCAUAAUUUAAAGACCAUUAUGAUCAUCUAGUUUGACCUCCUUCAUAACAGAAGCAAAGGAAUUUCACCCAGUAAUUCCUGAAUCAUGCCCAUAUCUUAUGGUUGAGCUAGAGUACAUUUUUUACAAAAAAACCCCACAAAAAUCCUUCCAUUCUUGAUUUAAAGACAUUAAGUGAUGAAGAAUCCACCACAUCCCUUGUGGGGUGUUGGAGUUAGUUACCCUCACUGUUAAAAUUUCUAGUCUGAAUUAAGCUAGCUUCGUUUCCAGGUUAAAUAGAGGAGACUUUAGCCUCCAGGCUCUCAGACCAGCAUUAAAUUCGCACACACAGGCCGGCCUUACCUUAGCAUUGGCCUCACUACCGAAUCCAGAGAAAUUUUGAUAUCAAGCUCAUACGCGCAUGAGAAUUCCACAUUGAUGGUUCGGUCCCGGGUGAUUAUGUUUCCAGUGUUGUUUGCACUUUCAAUCCACACAGUGUUUUUGUACAUGAUAUGAGUGCCGUUGGACUGUGCAGGAGAAAAAGAAACAAAUAUUAUUCUUUUUAGGGGUUAACACAGCCAUCACGAUUUCAGUUCACAGCUCUGAAAGCAGCACAUUAAAGUCAUUACGUAAACAAUAAUUUCCAAACAGAUUGUGAACUGUUUGGGGGCAAGGAUGGCUUUUUGUUUUAUAUUUGUGCAGCACCUGGCACAGUGGGGCCUUGAUCCCUGACUGGAGCUUUUGGACAUUGCAGUAAUAGAUUAUAAAUAACAAUAAUAAAUUAGCUUGCAUCUAUCUGCUAGACUAAAAAAAGACUCUAAAUGUGUACAGAGGUACAUAUGUUACAUUUAUAACAGCAUCAUUCAGCAUAAAAGAUCCCAAUGCAACAUAUACACACUACACGCACCAUUGAAAUGCAACCACCUCUGGGGCAGAACACGUCAUCUAUUUAACAGCCCUCACGAAUACCACGUCCCGGUGAAAUAUCCAGGGAAAUUUUAAGUAGGCAAAAUUUAAGCACCCAGUCUGGAAUUUGGACAGUACACAAGCGCUAACACCUUAUACCUUCUGCCAUGCACACAAAUGUGUUUGGAGCUGCCUAUUAGAACACAAAGACAGAAAGAAAGAACCCCCACUGUGAAGAGUGUGUAUGUGAUCAUCCCCUAAUGUAAUUUAACGAAGCACUGAAGCAUUCAGCCAUCGUGACAUUUGAGCUCAAAUAAUAAACUUGACACCAAAAUGAA